rnacentral:rRNA from 1 species
UACGUAGGGUGCGAGCGUUAAUCGGAAUUACUGGGCGUAAAGCGUGCGCAGGCGGUGAUGUAAGACAGAUGUGAAAUCCCCGGGCUCAACCUGGGAACUGCAUUUGUGACUGCAUCGCUGGAGUGCGGCAGAGGGGGAUGGAAUUCCGCGUGUAGCAGUGAAAUGCGUAGAUAUGUGGAGGAACACCAAUGGCGAAGGCAGUCUUCUGGGCCAAUAUUGACGCUGAGGCUCGAAAGCGUGGGUAGCAAACAGG